UUAAUUAAUUUAAUAAUUGUCUCAGACUGCAUACUUCAGACAGCGUUCACAGGUGGCUUCGGCGGGCGCGGGCCCGGGGGCGGAUGCCCCCCGGCGGCCGUGAGGCGGGCCCGCCGAAGCAACAAGGUACAAUAAACACGGGUGGGAGGUUGAAUUCAGAGAAUUCUCGCUCGGUAAUGAUCCUUCCGCAGGUUCACCUACGGAAA
rnacentral:misc_RNA from 1 species